rnacentral:rRNA from 1 species
AGCGAAGCACCUUGACGGAUUUCUUCGGAUUGAAGCCUUGGUGACUGAGCGGCGGACGGGUGAGUAACGCGUGGGUAACCUGCCUCAUACAGGGGGAUAACAGUUGGAAACGGCUGCUAAUACCGCAUAAGCGCACAGUACCGCAUGGUACGGUGUGAAAAACUCCGGUGGUAUGAGAUGGACCCGCGUCUGAUUAGGUAGUUGGUGGGGUAACGGCCUACCAAGCCGACGAUCAGUAGCCGACCUGAGAGGGUGACCGGCCACAUUGGGACUGAGACACGGCCCAAACUCCUACGGGAGGCAGCAGUGGGGAAUAUUGCACAAUGGGGGAAACCCUGAUGCAGCGACGCCGCGUGAGCGAUGAAGUAUUUCGGUAUGUAAAGCUCUAUCAGUAGGGAAGAAAAUGACGGUACCUGACUAAGAAGCCCCGGCUAACUACGUGCCAGCAGCCGCGGUAAUACGUAGGGGGCAAGCGUUAUCCGGAUUUACUGGGUGUAAAGGGAGCGUAGACGGCAUGGCAAGCCAGAUGUGAAAGCCCGGGGCUCAACCCCGGGACUGCAUUUGGAACUGUCAGGCUAGAGUGUCGGAGAGGAAAGCGGAAUUCCUAGUGUAGCGGUGAAAUGCGUAGAUAUUAGGAGGAACACCAGUGGCGAAGGCGGCUUUCUGGACGAUGACUGACGUUGAGGCUCGAAAGCGUGGGGAGCAAACAGGAUUAGAUACCCUGGUAGUC